rnacentral:tRNA from 1 species
AAGAUUUUAAGUUAUUAAAACUAUUUACCUUCAAAGUAAAAAAUAUUAUUUAAAAUAAAUCUUA